rnacentral:rRNA from 1 species
UACGUAGGGGGCAAGCGUUGUCCGGAAUCAUUGGGCGUAAAGAGCGUGUAGGCGGCUCGGUAAGUCCGCUCUGAAAGCCCGGGGCUCAACCCCGGGAGGCGGGCGGAUACUGUCGGGCUAGAGUCCGGAAGAGGCGAGUGGAAUUCCUGGUGUAGCGGUGAAAUGCGCAGAUAUCAGGAAGAACACCCGUGGCGAAGGCGGCUCUCUGGGACGGUACUGACGCUGAGACGCGAAAGCGUGGGGAGCGAACAGG